UGGAUUUUACUUAAUAUCAAAUGUCCUGGAUCAUUUAUGUUUUCAUGUAUGUAAACUGUAGAUGAUGAAGAAAGAGAGCAGCUUGCAAAGGAGAUUUCCGAGGACUGGAGUUCUGUUUUUGAGCGAAGCAUAAACACAUUGUUUCUAACUUCUUGUUAAUGACCAGUAAGUCGAUUAAUCAUUCUGUUUCCAUGCCUUGCUAAAGUUGUUCGAGCUUUCGCCAAUAUUCUCUUUGAUAUGAAAUAGAUUAAGCCUCACAUUAUCGUAUGCAACUCUGAAAUGUUGAGAUUUUUCGGUCUGACGCAACUUUAAUCGCAGAGAAUAUAAUUAUACUUCUUUUGGGAGGAAGGAAGAGCGAUAAGUAUACAGUUUCAUGACCUUUUUCUUUCCUGUUCAGAAACUGAAUC